rnacentral:rRNA from 1 species
UGGGGAAUAUUGCACAAUGGGCGCAAGCCUGAUGCAGCCAUGCCGCGUGUAUGAAGAAGGCCUUCGGGUUGUAAAGUACUUUCAGCGGGGAUGAAGGGAGUAAAGUUAAUACCUUUGCUCAUUGACGUUACCCGCAGAAGAAGCACCGGCUAACUCCGUGCCAGCAGCCGCGGUAAUACGGAGGGUGCAAGCGUUAAUCGGAAUUUCUGGGCGUAAAGCGCACGCAGGCGGUUUGUUAAGUCAGAUGUGAAAUCCCCGGGCUCAACCUGGGAACUGCAUCUGAUACUGGCAAGCUUGAGUCUCGUAGAGGGGGGUAGAAUUCCAGGUGUAGCGGUGAAAUGCGUAGAGAUCUGGAGGAAUACCGGUGGCGAAGGCGGCCCCCUGGACGAAGACUGACGCUCAGGUGCGAAAGCGUGGGGAGCAAACA